rnacentral:rRNA from 1 species
GGGGGAAAAAAAUGACGUGUACCUGAAGAAUAAGCAUCGGCUAACUCCGUGCCAGCAGCCGCGGUAAGACGGAGGAUGCAAGUGUUAUCCGGAAUCACUGGGCGUAAAGCGUCUGUAGGUGGUUUAAUAAGUCAACUGUUAAAUCUUGAAGCUCAACUUCAAAAUCGCAGUCGAAACURUUAGACUAGAGUAUAGUAGGGGUAAAGGGAAUUUCCAGUGGAGCGGUGAAAUGCGUAGAUAUUGGAAAGAACACCGAUGGCGAAGGCACUUUACUGGGCUAUUACUGACACUCAGAGACGAAAGCUAGGGUAGCAAAUGGGAUUAGAUACCCCAGUAGUCCUAGCCGUAAACAA